UACGUAGGGUGCGAGCGUUGUCCGGAAUCAUUGGGCGUAAAGAGCGUGUAGGCGGCCAGACAGGUCCGUUGUGAAAACUCGAGGCUCAACCUCGAGAUGUCGAUGGAAACCGUCUGGCUAGAGUCCGGAAGAGGAGUGUGGAAUUCCUGGUGUAGCGGUGAAAUGCGCAGAUAUCAGGAAGAACACCUAUGGCGAAGGCAGCACUCUGGGACGGUACUGACGCUGAGACGCGAAAGCGUGGGGAGCGAACAGG
rnacentral:rRNA from 1 species